rnacentral:rRNA from 1 species
CUACAGAGGGUGCAAGCGUUAAUCGGAAUUACUGGGCGUAAAGCGCGCGUAGGCGGUUUGUUAAGUUGGAUGUGAAAGCCCCGGGCUUAACCUGGGAGGGUCAUUCAAAACUGGCAGACUAGAGUGUGGUAGAGGGUAGUGGAAUUCCUAGUGUAGCGGUGAAAUGCGUAGAGAUUAGGAGGAACACCAGUGGCGAAGGCGACUGCCUGGACCAACACUGACGCUGAGGUGCGAAAGCGUGGGUAGCGAACAGGAGUAGAAACCCCAGUAGUCC